GAAUAAAAGGGAAAAGGAGAGAUGGAAAGGGAGUGGAAGCAAUUCAGCAGCAUUUUUUAAUCUGGAGUAUAAUAAGUCUUCCAUACAAGUUUAAUUUUACUUUCUCUCAAAAUAAGCUUUUUCAUGCUCCUUUUCAUUUUUCAUAACCAUAUCCUAUUUUACUCACAACAGCAUUUGUACAUAUACAGAUACCAGUGCCUGGCCCCACAUUUUCCUCUUUCUCCUAAUACCUCUCCUAUGUUGUUUUUCUUUACAAUCAAUGGUCUCAAGAUAAUAGAAAACUAAACUAAAUAGUUUGGAGAUUGUUCAAAACAAUUUCAUUUUACUAUAUACUUCAUUUAUUCUUCCUGAGUAUUGGAGGUAUUUCAUGAAGGCCAGUAUGUUACAUAUUUCUAAAAUGAUAGUUUUCUCACUUCUUUGGCUCAGAAAAAUCUGACAAGAACCUCUGCAGCUGCUCUGGUUUUAGACUCAGACUGUGGUCCCCAGCCAGGUGCAAGGACAAUGGCCAUCUAUUAAUAUCCCCAUGCCAGCUGUUGUCCCAACAUGUGCAAUACCCAGGCCCUGGGGAGGAGAACUCUAUUUUAUCUGCAGCCUCUCCCUUUUUGGUAAGGAAUAAAUUUUUCUAUCAGCUUUGAAAUAGAUUCUAAUACAUUAAAAGAAAUAAAUUAUAUCUUAUGCACUAUAUUUUUCACCCAAAGCACCAGUGAUAGACCUUUUUUGGCCAUCCUAAUGUCUGCAGUAGUACAGAGCACAGGUUGCAAAGGUUAUUGGUGAAAUGAUGUUUGUGGUUUCACUUGAGUCUGCAGUGGAAAUCAAUCCACCAUGAAAGUACCCUUUAAUCAGGUAUAAUUGAACAUAAUGAAUAGGUAAACCAUGAAACAGAAGAACACAUGGGCAGGUAAGAUGUAAGAGGACCAAAGGAAUACAUGUAAAAGGAAUCCAGGACAAUUUGGAUGGGUGAUAUUUUGGUCUUAAAAACUAACAAACUUAUCAAAGGACUCCCCCUCCCCCCCAAUAGCGAGGGGCUCCAGCUUACAAAUAUGCCAUACUCUACAUUCUCUCACUUUUUUUUCCUUUUAAGGCCGCACCUGUGGCAUAUGGAGCGGCCGUAGAAAAGGAAAAAAAGAAAAAAGAAAAAGAAAGACAAAAAAAGAAAGAAG
ensembl:lncRNA